rnacentral:rRNA from 1 species
CCCUUAGAUGUCCUGGGCCGCACGCGUGCUACACUGACGCCUACAGCGAGUACUUCCCAGCCCCGAGAGGUGGCUGGUAAUCAGCAAUAGGCGUCGUGAUGGGGAUAGAUCUUUGGAAUUAUGGAUCUUGAACGAGGAAUGCCUAGUAAGCGCAGGUCAUUAGCCUGCGCUGAUUAAGUCCCUGCCCUUUGUACACACCGCCCGUCGCUCCUACCGAUUUCGAGUGGUCCGGUGAAUCUUUCGGACUGCGCGCGGCCUCGUGCCGUGUCGCGGAAAGUCAGGUAAACCCUAUCACUUAGAGGAAGGAGAAGUCGUAACA